UACGUAGGGGGCAAGCGUUGUCCGGAAUCACUGGGCGUAAAGCGCGCGCAGGCGGCUAUCUACGUCCGGGGUGAAAGCCCAGAGCUCAACUCUGGGACUGCCUUGGAUACGGGAUAGCUUGAGGGUCGGAGAGGCAAGGGGAAUUCCACGUGUAGCGGUGAAAUGCGUAGAGAUGUGGAGGAACACCUGUGGCGAAGGCGCCUUGCUGGCCGAUUUCUGACGCUGAGGCGCGAAAGCGUGGGGAGCAAACGGG
rnacentral:rRNA from 1 species